ACACAGAUGAGUCACACCUGUACACUCACACAGAUGAGUCACACCUGUACACUCACACAGAUGAGAGUCACACCUGUACACUCACACAGAUGAGAGUCACACCUGUACACUCACACAGAUGAGUCACACCUGUACACUCACACAGGUGAGAGUCACACCUGUACACUCACACAGAUGAGUCACACCUGUACACUCACACAGAUGAGAGUCACACCUGUACACUCACACAGAUGAGUCACACCUGUACACUCACACAGAUGAGUCACACCUGUACACUCACACAGAUGAGAGUCACACCUGUACACUCACACAGAUGAGUCACACCUGUACACUCACACAGAUGAGUCACACCUGUACACUCACACAGAUGAGAGUCACACCUGUACACUCACACAGAUGAGUCACACCUGUACACUCACACAGAUGAGUCACACCUGUACACUCACACA